GACGAACGCUGGCGGCGUGCCUAAUACAUGCAAGUCGAGCGGAUCUUCAUUAGCUUGCUUUUGAAGAUCAGCGGCGGACGGGUGAGUAACACGUGGGCAACCUGCCUGUAAGACUGGGAUAACUUCGGGAAACCGGAGCUAAUACCGGAUAAUCCUUUUCCUCUCAUGAGGAAAAGUUGAAAGACGGUUUCGGCUGUCACUUACAGAUGGGCCCGCGGCGCAUUAGCUAGUUGGUGAGGUAACGGCUCACCAAGGCGACGAUGCGUAGCCGACCUGAGAGGGUGAUCGGCCACACUGGGACUGCGACACGGCCCAGACUCCUACGGGAGGCAGCAGUAGGGAAUCUUCCGCAAUGGACGAAAGUCUGACGGAGCAACGCCGCGUGAGCGAUGAAGGACUUCGGGUCGUAAAGCUCUGUUGUCAGGGAAGAACAAGUACCGGAGUAACUGCCGGUACCUUGACGGUACCUGACCAGAAAGCCACGGCUAACUACGUGCCAGCCGCCCGCAGUAA
rnacentral:rRNA from 1 species